rnacentral:rRNA from 1 species
GUGCCAGCAGCCGCGGUAAUACGUAGGGUGCAAGCGUUGUCCGGAAUUAUUGGGCGUAAAGAGCUCGUAGGCGGUUUGUCGCGUCGAAUGUGAAAACCCGGGGCUCAACCCCGGGCCUGCAUUCGAUACGGGCAGACUAGAGUUCGGUAGGGGAGUCUGGAAUUCCUGGUGUAGCGGUGAAAUGCGCAGAUAUCAGGAGGAACACCGGUGGCGAAGGCGGGACUCUGGGCCGAUACUGACGCUGAGGAGCGAAAGCGUGGGGAGCAAACAGGAUUAGAUACCCUGGUAGUCC